CAUCACCCUAAAACUUAUAUAGAACUUGGAUGUUUAUGGAGUUUUUUACAUGAAAAAUUAAAAAAUUUGACCAUUCGUCCUUUCUGCAUUUAGCGAUUCAUAAAAUUGGAUUGGAUACAAUAUACAGGGUGUUUCAAAUUUCAUGUUACAUUCAAAUUUUCUAUGAAGUACUUAUGUUUUUAAAAAAAAAUUAUUUAAAUGCCUUGAACUGUGAUUCAUUACUCUCUUC